GGGUCAGUAGGUUGGUCGUGCCACCGGUACGUACUGGUCUCACUGAUUCCUCCUUCCUGAAGAACCGUAAUGCCAUUAAUUUGGUGUUGCGGGGGAACAGGACUGUUACUUUGAAAAAAUUAGAGUGUUUAAAGCAAGCUAACGCUUGAAUACAUUAGCAUGGAAUAAUGAAAUAGGACGAUCGAUCCUAUUUUGUUGGUUUCUAGGAUUGACGUG
rnacentral:rRNA from 1 species